ACGAAUCGCUGGCGGCGUGCUUAACACAUGCAAGUCGAACGGAAAGGCCCAGCUUGCUGGGUACUCGAGUGGCGAACGGGUGAGUAACACGUGGGUGAUCUGCCCUGCACUCUGGGAUAAGCCUGGGAAACUGGGUCUAAUACCGGAUAUGACCAACUGUCGCAUGGUGGUUGGUGGAAAGCUUUUGCGGUGUGGGAUGGGCCCGCGGCCUAUCAGCUUGUUGGUGGGGUAAUGGCCUACCAAGGCGACGACGGGUAGCCGACCUGAGAGGGUGAUCGGCCACACUGGGACUGAGACACGGCCCAGACUCCUACGGGAGGCAGCAGUGGGGAAUAUUGCACAAUGGGCGCAAGCCUGAUGCAGCGACGCCGCGUGAGGGAUGACGGCCUUCGGGUUGUAAACCUCUUUCACCAGGGACGAAGCGCAAGUGACGGUACCUGGAGAAGAAGCACCGGCCAACUACGUGCCAGCAGCCGCGGUAAUACGUAGGGUGCGAGCGUUGUCCGGAAUUACUGGGCGUAAAGAGCUCGUAGGCGGUUUGUCGCGUCGUCUGUGAAAUUCUGCAACUCAAUUGCAGGCGUGCAGGCGAUACGGGCAGACUUGAGUACUACAGGGGAGACUGGAAUUCCUGGUGUAGCGGUGAAA
rnacentral:rRNA from 1 species